rnacentral:lncRNA from 1 species
CUGUUCUGGAGAGAGAAAAUUUACGGGGAUGAAGAAAUAGCAUUUAUGAGCUCGAUGAAGAAGAUUGGAAAAGCACACAAAAAACCCCCUGACAAACACAAACAGUGAUAUUUCAGGCACAGAAGUCUUUUACCAGGGCUAAAAAAAGACAAAGACUUUCAAUGCAGGUUGAGAAUAAAUUGCUCUAAAUUUAUAUUAUAAUUAUCUCUGAAGUUAUCUGAAAGGAAUGAUGGUUAGUACUUGUGAAACAGAGGCAGGAUGAUCAUUAGCAAUGCGGACAUGAACACCUGUGGGACAGAAUGUCUGAACGAGCAAGGUUUUGCUACUUCAUGAAAGAAGAAAAUAUUUGGGAAACAUCUCACCUACCAUUUGUCACUAAAACUUGGGCACUUCCUCCAAAGCAGCCACUGCAGUUCAUGGAGGCAGACAUAAACUGGGCCCAUUUGCUGACAGGACUUGUGACCCUGCAAGGGACCUACCCAGCCUGUUCCUGAAGGAUUGCAACCCAUGGAAGGGACCCACUCUGGAGCAGUUAAUGAAGAACUGGAGCCUGUGGGAAGGACUCACAUUGGAGAAGUCUGUGGAGAACUGUCUCCCAUGAGAGGGACCACAGGCAGAAGCAGGGGAAGAGUGUGAGGAGCCUCCUUCUGAGGCGGAAGGAGCAGCACAGAAAACAUGUGAUGAACUGACCACAGCUCCCAUUCCCUGUCCCCAUGUGCCACUGGCAGGAAGGAGGCAGAGAAAAUUUGAAGUUGAGCCCAGCAAAAAGGGAGGGAUGGGAGGAAGGUGUUUUAAGAACUGGGUUUUCAUUGAUCAUUACCCUACUCUGAUUUGUUUGGUAGUAAACUAAUUUCCCCAAGCUGAGUCUGUUUUGCCCAUGGCAGUACUUGCUGAGUGAUCUCUCCCUGGUGUUAUCUCAACCCACGAGCCUUUUGUUGUAAUUUCUCUCCCCUGCCCAGUUGAGGAGGGGAGUGCUAGAACAGCUUUGGUGGGCAUCCAGAAAGGGUAACCCACCACAGAGGCCAUCAGCAAAGACAUAAAAAAGUUACAAAACUUUAUUUUUAAUAUUACUUGGACCCAAGAUUCCAUUCCAGC